rnacentral:misc_RNA from 1 species
CGCAGGCGGAGAACGCGCGGAACCUGCUCGUCAGGGCGAGGCUGAUCUGCGAGCGGCGUGGGGUGGCCGCGGCGACGGUGGCGGUGGAGGGGGAGCCCCGGGAGGCGCUGUGCCGCGCCGCUGAGGACGCCGGCGCCGGCCUGCUCGUCGUCGGCAGCCGCGGCCUCGGCGCCCUCAAGAGGGCGUUCCUGGGCAGCGUCAGCGACUACUGCGCGCACCGCGCGAGCUGCCCGAUCAUGGUCGUCAAGCCGCCUCCCGACGCCGGCGACGAAGACGACGGCGGCCACUGCACGAGCAACUGAACUGAUG